CUUCAUUAGCGGAGGAAAAGAACCAACAGGGAUUGCCCCAGUAACGGCGAGUGAAGCGGCAACAGCUCAAAUUUGAAAUCUGGCCCCCAGGGCCCGAGUUGUAAUUUGCAGAGGAUGCUUUUGGCGACGCGCCUUCCGAGUUCCCUGGAACGGGACGCCAUAGAGGGUGAGAGCCCCGUCUGGUUGGACGCCGAGCCUCUGUAAAGCUCCUUCGACGAGUCGAGUAGUUUGGGAAUGCUGCUCUAAAUGGGAGGUAUAUGUCUUCUAAAGCUAAAUACCGGCCAGAGACCGAUAGCGCACAAGUAGAGUGAUCGAAAGAUGAAAAGCACUUUGAAAAGAGGGUUAAAUAGUACGUGAAAUUGUUGAAAGGGAAGCGCUCACGACCAGACUUGAGCCCGGUGAAUCACCCAGCGUUCUCGCUGGUGCACUUCGCCGGGCCCAGGCCAGCAUCGGUUCGCCGCGGGGGAGAAAGGCGUCGGGAACGUGGCUCCCUCGGGAGUGUUAUAGCCCGUCGCACAAUACCCUGGGGCGGACCGAGGUUCGCGCAUCUGCAAGGAUGCUGGCGUAAUGGUCGUCAGCGACCCGUCUUGAAACACGGACCAAGGAGUCGUCUUCGUAUGCGAGUGUUCGGGUGUAAACCCCUACGCGUAAUGAAAGUGAACGCAGGUGAGAGCUUCGGCGCAUCAUCGACCGAUCCUGAUGUUCUCGGAUGGAUUUGAGUAAGAGCAUACGGGGCCGGACCCGAAAGAAGGUGAACUAUGCCUGUGUAGGGUGAAGCCAGAGGAAACUCUGGUGGAGGCUCGCAGCGGUUCUGACGUGCAAAUCGAUCGUCAAACAUGGGCAUGGGGGCGAAAGACUA
rnacentral:rRNA from 1 species